GUAUAAUGGGUCAGCGACUUAUAUUCUGUAGCAAGGUUAACCGAAUAGGGGAGCCGGAGGGAAACCGAGUCUUAAUUUGGCGUUAAGUUGCAGGGUAUAGACCCGAAACCCGGUGAUCUAGCCAUGGGCAGGUUGAAGGUUGGGUAACACUAACUGGAGGACCGAACCGACUAAUGUUGAAAAAUUAGCGGAUGACCUGUGGCUGGGGGUGAAAGGCCAAUCAAACCGGGAGAUAGCUGGUUCUCCCCGAAAGCUAUUUAGGUAGCGCCUCGUGAAUUCAUCUCCGGGGGUAGAGCACUGUUUCGGCUAGGGGGCCAUCCCGGCUUACCAACCCGAUGCAAACUGCGAAUACCGGAGAAUGUUAUCACGGGAGACACACGGCGGGUGCUAACGUCCGUCGUGAAGAGGGAAACAACCCAGACCGCCAGCUAAGGUCCCAAAGUCAUGGUUAAGUGGGAAACGAUGUGGGAAGGCCCAGACAGCCAGGAUGUUGGCUUAGAAGCAGCCAUCAUUUAAAGAAAGCGUAAUAGCUCACUGGUCGAGUCGGCCUGCGCGGAAGAUGUAACGGGGCUAAACCAUGCACCGAAGCUGCGGCAGCGACGCUGAUGCGUUGUUGGGUAGGGGAGCGUUCUGUAAGCCUGCGAAGGUGGCCUGUGAGGGUUGCUGGAGGUAUCAGAAGUGCGAAUGCUGACAUAAGUAACGAUAAAGCGGGUGAAAAGCCCGCUCGCCGGAAGACCAAGGGUUCCUGUCCAACGUUAAUCGGGGCAGGGUGAGUCGACCCCUAAGGCGAGGCCGAAAGGCGUAGUCGAUGGGAAACGGGUUAAUAUUCCCGUACUUGGUGUUACUGCGAAGGGGGGACGGAGAAGGCUAUGUUGGCCGGGCGACGGUUGUCCCGGUUUAAGCGUGUAGGUGUGUGUUCCAGGUAAAUCCGGUUCACUUUAACACUGAGGCGUGAUGACGAGGCACUACGGUGCUGAAGCAACAAAUGCCCUGCUUCCAGGAAAAGCCUCUAAGCAUCAGGUAACAUCAAAUCGUACCCCAAACCGACACAGGUGGUCAGGUAGAGAAUACCAAGGCGCUUGAGAGAACUCGGGUGAAGGAACUAGGCAAAAUGGUGCCGUAACUUCGGGAGAAGGCACGCUGACACGUAGGUGAAGUGAUUUACUCAUGGAGCUGAAGUCAGUCGAAGAUACCAGCUGGCUGCAACUGUUUAUUAAAAACACAGCACUGUGCAAACACGAAAGUGGACGUAUACGGUGUGACGCCUGCCCGGUGCCGGAAGGUUAAUUGAUGGGGUCAGCGCAAGCGAAGCUCCUGAUCGAAGCCCCGGUAAACGGCGGCCGUAACUAUAACGGUCCUAAGGUAGCGAAAUUCCUUGUCGGGUAAGUUCCGACCUGCACGAAUGGCGUAAUGAUGGCCAGGCUGUCUCCACCCGAGACUCAGUGAAAUUGAACUCGCUGUGAAGAUGCAGUGUACCCGCGGCAAGACGGAAAGACCCCGUGAACCUUUACUAUAGCUUGACACUGAACAUUGAGCCUUGAUGUGUAGGAUAGGUGGGAGGCUUUGAAGUGUGGACGCCAGUCUGCAUGGAGCCGGCCUUGAAAUACCACCCUUUAAUGUUUGAUGUUCUAACGUGGACCCGUGAUCCGGGUUGCGGACAGUGUCUGGUGGGUAGUUUGACUGGGGCGGUCUCCUCCUAAAGAGUAACGGAGGAGCACGAAGGUUGGCUAAUCCUGGUCGGACAUCAGGAGGUUAGUGCAAUGGCAUAAGCCAGCUUGACUGCGAGCGUGACGGCGCGAGCAGGUGCGAAAGCAGGUCAUAGUGAUCCGGUGGUUCUGAAUGGAAGGGCCAUCGCUCAACGGAUAAAAGGUACUCCGGGGAUAACAGGCUGAUACCGCCCAAGAGUUCAUAUCGACGGCGGUGUUUGGCACCUCGAUGUCGGCUCAUCACAUCCUGGGGCUGAAGUAGGUCCCAAGGGUAUGGCUGUUCGCCAUUUAAAGUGGUACGCGAGCUGGGUUUAGAACGUCGUGAGACAGUUCGGUCCCUAUCUGCCGUGGGCGCUGGAGAACUGAGGGGGGCUGCUCCUAGUACGAGAGGACCGGAGUGGACGCAUCACUGGUGUUCGGGUUGUCAUGCCAAUGGCACUGCCCGGUAGCUAAAUGCGGAAGAGAUAAGUGCUGAAAGCAUCUAAGCACGAAACUUGCCCCGAGAUGAGUUCUCCCUGAGACUUAGAGUCUCCUGAAGGAACGUUGAAGACGACGACGUUGAUAGGCCGGGUGUGUAAGCGCAGCGAUGCGUUGAGCUAACCGGUACUAAUGAACCGUGAGGCUUAACCUUACAACGCCGAAG
rnacentral:rRNA from 1 species